UACAGAGGGUGCGAGCGUUACUCGGAAUUACUGGGCGUAAAGCGUGCGUAGACGGUUAUUUAAGUCGGGUGUGAAAGCCCCGGGCUCAACCUGGGAAUUGCAUUCGAGACUGAAUAGCUAGGGUACGGUAGAGGGAAGUGGAAUUUCCGGUGUAGCGGUGAAAUGCGCAGAUAUCAGGAGGAACACCAAUGGCGAAGGCAGCUCGCUGGGACGGUACUGACGCUGAGACGCGAAAGCGUGGGGAGCAAACAGG
rnacentral:rRNA from 1 species